rnacentral:rRNA from 1 species
CCGGCGACCGGCGCACGGGUGAGUAACACGUAUGCAACCUGCCCUCCGCAGGGGGAUAACCCGGAGAAAUCCGGACUAAUACCGCGUGGUACACCAGUGGGGCAUCCCACGGGUGUUAAAAGGAAGCGAUUCCGGCGGAGGAUGGGCAUGCGGCGCAUUAGCUUGUUGGCGGGGUAACGGCCCACCAAGGCGACGAUGCGUAGGGGUUCUGAGAGGAAGGUCCCCCACAUUGGAACUGAGACACGGUCCAAACUCCUACGGGAGGCAGCAG